GGAGAGAUGCGAGAGCGGUCGAAUCGGGCGGUCUCGAAAACCGUUGUACCGCAAGGUACCGGGGGUUCGAAUCCCCCUCUCUCCGCUA
rnacentral:tRNA from 2 species